GGCAUGAUCACCUGACCGGAAUACGGCAAAAUGAGUAGGAAGUGGUAGAUGAUUGUGAAGAAACUGUAAAACUAGGGCAGGUGGUAAAAGUAGGAGAUUUCAAUUAUCCACACUGAGACUCGAUGAAUAACUCAUCAGGAAGAGACAGGAGGUACCUCUCAUUUCCUGUUCCAGCUCCCGGGUAAAAGCAACUGGAGAAAAGCUGCCACUUUGUCCCCCUGCUGCCUGCCUGCCUCCAAAAGAAGCCCGGCACCUCUCUGCCCUGGGAGGGCACUUUCCCUCCUGUGUCCUUGCAGCUUGGGGCAGAUUCUGCUGGGAGCGGAGUACACAGUGCAGAGCGUGGAUUCAGCCAGGGGGUUUCAGGACAGUAACUUGUCACUUGGAGUUAAAUUCCUGGUCCAGGGCCCUCCAUUCCAUGAGUCCUUACUGGCUUGAAGGAGCUACUUCACACCUGCAAACGGGCCUAUGUUAUGUCCCCCACAAGCCUUCCCUCCUGCCCAGGAAGUGUUGAUUUGGCUUUUCUGGUCACUUCUGGGACACGCCUAUGUCUAGGAUACAAACACAGAGACACACACAGAAGGAGGGAGGAAUUUGGUCGAGCAGAAUCUGAUGGCAUUUAGCAACCAAGAACAUGGUUUGAAGUCUCGGUUCUCAUCCAUUCGGUACGUUAACAAAGCUUAGCCAUGGCCAUUUGAA